rnacentral:rRNA from 1 species
AUUGAACGCUGGCGGCAUGCCUUACACAUGCAAGUCGAACGGUAACGGGCCUUCGGGUGCCGACGAGUGGCGAACGGGUGAGUAAUGCAUCGGAACGUACCUUUCAGUGGGGGAUAACGUAGCGAAAGUUACGCUAAUACCGCAUAUUCAGUGAGCAGGAAAGCAGGGGAUCGCAAGACCUUGCGCUGAUUGAGCGGCCGAUGUCAGAUUAGCUAGUUGGUGAGGUAAAGGCUCACCAAGGCGACGAUCUGUAGCGGGUCUGAGAGGAUGAUCCGCCACACUGGAACUGAGACACGGUCCAGACUCCUACGGGAGGCAGCAGUGGGGAAUUUUGGACAAUGGGGGCAACCCUGAUCCAGCCAUGCCGCGUGAGUGAAGAAGGCCUUCGGGUUGUAAAGCUCUUUCGGCCGGGAAGAAAUCGUAUGGGCUAAUACCCUGUGCGGAUGACGGUACCGGCAUAAGAAGCACCGGCUAACUACGUGCCAGCAGCCGCAGUAAAAC